AUUGAACGCUGGCGGCAGGCCUAACACAUGCAAGUCGAACGAGUGGCGGACGGGUGAGUAAUGUCUGGGAAACUGCCUGGUGGAGGGGGAUAACUCCUGGAAACGGUAGCUAAUACCGCAUACCAUCGGAUGUGCCCAGAUGUGAUUAGCUAUUAGGUGGGGUAACGGCUCACCUAGGCGACGAUCCCUAGCUGGUCUGAGAGGAUUACCAGCAAAACUGGAACUGAGACACGGUCCAGAAUCCGAAGGGAGGCUGCAGGGGGGAAUAUUGCACAAUGGGCGCAAGCCUGAUGCAGCCAUGCCGCGUGUAUGAAGAAGGCCUUCGGGUUGUAAAGUACUGUCAGCGGGGAGGCGGGACCCGCAGAAGAAGCACCGGCUAACUCCGUGCCAGCAGCCGCGGUAAUAC
rnacentral:rRNA from 1 species